rnacentral:lncRNA from 1 species
CAUCUCACCUGUGUCAGGUCCUUAAAAAGGAGAGCAGUGACACAGAACUCACAUCACAGGGAGGCUCAUUGAAGAAGUUUGUGGAGGUCUUAAGUGAGAUAACUGACAAUUUCAGAAGGACUCCCUCACCAUGGCAGGGUUGAUUAUUUUCCUGCUGCUCAGUGCUGCCUUUUCUCUGGGAGAUCCACAUUGGCGUAAGAGUGGCCUUCAUAUUUCAGCAUAGUGUGUGAUUAACUGGUCUGGGGAAAAAUCUUCAACAUUUCAAUGCAAGUUGUUGGGCCACACAGGUGCCCUGGGGAAUGGCGCCAGUUUGGUUCCCAUUGUGUCAUUUUCGAUGAGACUCCAAGAUCUUGGGCGGAUGCGGAGGUAGCCCCCUAACUCUAGACUG